GAUGAACGCUGGCGGCGUGCCUAAUACAUGCAAGUCGAGCGAACAGACGAGGAGCUUGCUCCUCUGACGUUAGCGGCGGACGGGUGAGUAACACGUGGAUAACCUACCUAUAAGACUGGGAUAACUUCGGGAAACCGGAGCUAAUACCGGAUAAUAUAUUGAACCGCAUGGUUCAAUAGUGAAAGACGGUUUUGCUGUCACUUAUAGAUGGAUCCGCGCCGCAUUAGCUAGUUGGUAGGGUAACAGCUUACCAAGGCAACGAUGCGUAGCCGACCUGAGAGGGUGAUCGGCCACACUGGAACUGAGACACGGUCCAGACUCCUACGGGAGGCAGCAGUAGGGAAUCUUCCGCAAUGGGCGAAAGCCUGACGGAGCAACGCCGCGUGAUUGAUGAAGGUCUUCGGAUCGUAAAACUCUGUUAUUAGGGAAGAACAAAUGUGUAAGUAACUAUGCACGUCUUGACGGUACCUAAUCAGAAAGCCACGGCUAACUACGUG
rnacentral:rRNA from 1 species